rnacentral:rRNA from 1 species
AACGUAGGAGGCAAGCGUUAUCCGGAGUUACUGGGCGUAAAGCGUGCGUAGGCGGGUUGGUAAGUGGGAGGUGAAAGCGCUCGGCUAAACCGGGCGAGUGCCAUCCAGACUGCCAGUCUAGAGGCGGAUAGAGGGGUGCGGAAUUCCGGGUGUAGCGGUGAAAUGUGUAGAGAUCCCGAGGAAUACCAGUGGUGAAGACGGCGCCCUGGGUCUGUACUGACGCUGAGAUGCGAAAGCGUGGGGAGCGAACGGG